CGCAUGCACAACCCUCCGGCUUAAGGCGCACACGAUCUUCUUCUCCGGCGUUCUUUCUACGAUCCACUGAACAAGCUUAAGCUCAGGUACUAUAAAGUAUAAACCAUCAUACCAAGAGUUAUUCAUGCAAACUGAUACAAGCAAUGGUCAUGAUUCAACAAUUUCUGCUUGUGAAAAGGGUUAUAUUUCUGACUACCAUCGAUUUGGAUGGCUAUGAUUUUUAGCUCUCUGCAUACAUGCACUUGGACGCUUCAAGGAUCUUGUGGCAUGUACUAAUGGACUAGUUUCUAUACUGGCUAUACUUAUUCUCCAUUAGCCCAAGCAUAUCAGGAAAUUUAGUAUUCAAGACUCACCAAUCUUUGCUAAACGGUCAGAUAAGGGAGUCAACCUUUUAGCUUCUCUAUGCUAGAAAAUAU